GGGGGCGCAAUGGUUUCGACGGGGUGUGUGAGCCUUGGUAAGCGAGCGGUGGCAUUGCGGAACCACCUUAAAAUCCGUAAACUUUUAAAUAAUAAACGACAACAAUAAAACUGUUGCCCUUGCCGCUUAAUUAGGCAAGUGUUCGUUUCCGGAGUACCACGGCCGGUUUCGGGCAUCGAUAAGUGGUCAACGUGAAUGAUUGCCCGGCUCUGCUAUCAUCACGGUUUUUGAGCCUACCGGUUCGUUUUGACUGUUUGUCAGCAAUACGGAUGGGGAUUCUUCUUUGACAGACUGCGCUCGGAGAAAGCCUUUGUAAGUGCGCUUCGGACAGGAGUUCGAUUCUCCUCGCCUCCACCA
rnacentral:tmRNA from 1 species